rnacentral:rRNA from 1 species
UACGUAGGGCGCAAGCGUUGUCCGGAAUUAUUGGGCGUAAAGCGCUCGUAGGCGGUUUGUCGCGUCUGCUGUGAAAACCUAAGGCUCAACCUUGGGCUUGCAGUGGGUACGGGCAGACUAGAGUGCGGUAGGGGUGACUGGAAUUCCUGGUGUAGCGGUGGAAUGCGCAGAUAUCAGGAGGAACACCGAUGGCGAAGGCAGGUCACUGGGCCGCAACUGACGCUGAGGAGCGAAAGCAUGGGGAGCGAACAGG